GAGCAAGUAAUAUUUACUUACCUCUUUUUCCUCGACCAGCGUCGCUACUCGUCCAGGCUGCAACAAAAAUAGGUUAACGAAUGACUAAACAAACAACUGAUAACUUCGAUUACAACGAAAUAAAGGAAGCAAUGAGCAACCGCAACGUGAUAUCAAGAGAAAUUCUCGUUUGAUAAAUCUUGUCUAUAUCCAUAAUAGUAAAGGACAUGCGAUGGACUGUAAGAAGUCGAAAAUAUCAGAAGAAAACGCUUGUAUAUAUUUAUAAUAUAUAAAUAAUAUUGUAUGAAUUAGAGAAAUUGGAACGGCAAGCUCAUCAGGUGAAACUGUACCCGAUUUUCAUCAGUCUUAAUGGAAGCAUCCGUAAUCGAAAGGACAAGACUGAAAAAAAAAAAAAGAAAAAAGGGACAGAACCAUUUUUCUUAAAAAAUCCUUGUCAAAUAUUUUGGAUUAUAUAUUUACAUUAUACUGUUCAUUAAUUAUCGUAAACACAUUCAUUAUCAAACGAAACUGCAACUUUGUCAUUCGACGUGGAAGUCUGCCAGAUCUUUGUGAAAGAAUUCACGUGUUGAAUUCAUGAACAAGAAAAUUAAAGGUAUAAAUAGAACAUGUGAAACGAACAUCGUGUGAAAAACUCGAUCUGUCGGACAACUUGAUUCAAAGUUGAAAUGAUGCGGCCAGUCCGACGUAAAUAUUUAUUCACAAAUGUCGUGUUUAUUAUAACAUCAUCUUAUAGCGCGUAAUAAAAUAUUUCGAAACUCUGCGACAUACGUCAACAUAUUUUAGGACCGAAUGUAACGUGGUAAAUUAUUUAAAUAUAAUUAUUUUAUUUCUAAAUG